rnacentral:rRNA from 1 species
GAUGAACGCUGGCGGCGUGCCUAAUACAUGCAAGUCGAACGAAGAGAGAAGCUUGCUUCUCUUUUAGUGGCGAACGGGUGAGUAAUACAUAAGCAACCUACCUAUUUGACCGGGAUAACAGUUGGAAACGACUGCUAAUACCGGAUAGGUGCGCGGGGGACAUCCCCUGCACAUUAAAGCUGGGACCCAGCACGAAUGGAAGGGCUUAUGGCGCAUUAGUUAGUUGGCGGGGUAACGGCCCACCAAGACGAUGAUGCGUAGCCGACCUGAGAGGGUGACCGGCCACACUGGGACUGAGGCACGGCCCAGACUCCUACGGGAGGCAGCAGUAGGGAAUUUUCGGCAAUGGGCGCAAGCCUGACCGAGCAACGCCGCGUGAGUGAAGAAGGCCUUCGGGUUGUAAAGCUCUGUUGUAAGGGAAGAAUGGCCAAGAGAGGGAAUGCUCUUGGAGUGACGGUACCUUACCAGAAAGCCACGGCUAACUACGUGCCAGCCGCCGCAGUAAAAC